GCACCUGUAGUUCAACGGAUAGAAUGUGGGUUUCCGGAACCCAUGAUACAGGUUCAAUUCCUGUCAGGUGCA
rfam:Microgenomates (Roizmanbacteria) bacterium GW2011_GWA2_36_23 TS11_C0002, whole genome shotgun sequence.